AAACAUUUGCUUCAGAUGGUUCUGGCAUUCGCAACACAUCAAAGUCUGUAACUUUCUAAUGGAUGUCAAGUGCGCGGGUGCUGUUUCUCAAUUGGGUCUGGGAGAUUUGCGGUCUGGGCCAUCUGGGUUGGCUUUGAAUCGGGUGGAUUGUUUGGAGAAAGUGAACAAAUGGGUUUGUUUUAAUGGGCUCCUGGGCUCACCGGUUCUCUGGACAAUAAGGUCUGUGGAAGACAAGAAGCCUUCCAUGCCAGCCAAAGACCUGCAGGCAGAAUUUUAUAGUGAAGGCCUUAGAUGAGGCCUAUCUCUUAACCGUUCUGAGUUGCAGAGGUUGCAGAUCAGAUGGAGCACAAUGUUUCCAAGAUAUUGCAUAUGGAUUUGAGCUGUUUCCCAAGACCGUUUAACUGCAUCUGAUUUGUCUGCUACUCCUCAUGAUGGUUCAAAGUUCUGGAUAUCAUUCAAGGUGUGAUUGUACCUUCCAGAAAAAAUAAAAUAAAAUAAAAGAUCAAUGGAAUUGCUGCUGUCAAAACUUGGUUGGUAUUAGUAGGGAUGCAGGGGAUACCAGGUGCAUUCACUGAGGAAGAAUGCUGCAAUCAAGGCCUACCGUAACUGCGAAACUGUUCUGUGUGAUGCGUUUGAAGAUGCUUUCAAGGUGUUAUUUUAUGGAACUAGGAUGCAAUGUAGACAUACAAUCAAUUUCUAUAAUUGUUUUAUGCAAUUCAGAGGACUGCUAAUGAGUGAUUCCAACUUUUUUGCCACUCCAUGGCUUA